AUGUUGUUGACUCAGAUUAAAGUGGUAUGUGCUGUCCUGUGCCUCAUUGGCUUCAGGGAGCCCUGGAAUAACUCAGAUGUUACAGCGGUUCUGCACGGAGGACUCGGACAUCAAGGUUUUAUCAGAUCUGUGAAUGAUGCUAACCUGAUGUUUGAGUUCUUAUGGAUUGGACUGGAGAUUGAUGCUGACAAUAAUGUUGUCAUGCGGGAUCAAGAAAUUGCAUCGAUGCGACAAGGGCGAGCUUUCUUAUCUCUCAUAAAUGACAGUAUCCCAAAGACUGUCUCUGCAGUGGAGAAGUUACUGGCUAUGCUGGAAGAGCAAGACAACUCUUUCACUCAGGCCCGUUUUGAGACCCUCCUCCUUGGGACUAUCUAUUCAGCCUACCAGGCACGAAACCAGAGGCUAGAGUCAGAGCAGCAGGCCUGGAUGGAUAUUCUUGGUCGUUUUGCAAAUGUUACUUUCGUUCAGCUACGCAAGUCUUAA
rnacentral:lncRNA from 12 species